rnacentral:rRNA from 1 species
GGUGAGGUAACGGCCCACCAAGGCAACGAUCGGUAGCCGGACUGAGAGGUUGAACGGCCACAUUGGGACUGAGACACGGCCCAGACUCCUACGGGAGGCAGCAGUGGGGAAUAUUGCACAAUGGGGGAAACCCUGAUGCAGCGACGCCGCGUGGAGGAAGAAGGUCUUCGGAUUGUAAACUCCUGUUGUUGAGGAAGACAAUGACGGUACUCAACAAGGAAGUGACGGCUAACUACGUGCCAGCAGCCGCGGUAAAACGUAGGUCACAAGCGUUGUCCGGAAUUACUGGGUGUAAAGGGAGCGCAGGCGGGAAGACAAGUUGGAAGUGAAAUCUAUGGGCUCAACCCAUAAACUGCUUUCAAAACUGUUUUUCUAGAGUAGUGCAGAGGUAGGCGGAAUUCCCGGUGUAGCGGUGGAAUGCGUAGAUAUCGGGAGGAACACCAGUGGCGAAGGCGGCCUACUGGGCACCAACUGACGCUGAGGCUCGAAAGUGUGGGUAGCAAACAGGAUUAGAUACCCUGGUAGUCCACACCGUAAACGAUGAUUACUAGGUGUUGGAGGAUUGACCCCUUCAGUGCCGCAGUUAACACAAUAAGUAAUCCACCUGGGGAGUACGACCGCAAGGUUGAAACUCAAAGGAAUUGACGGGGGCCCGCACAAGCAGUGGAGUAUGUGGUUUAAUUCGACGCAACGCGAAGAACCUUACCAAGUCUUGACAUCCUGCGACGCACAUAGAAAUAUGUGUUUCCUUCGGGACGCAGAGACAGGUGGUGCAUGGUUGUCGUCAGCUCGUGUCGUGAGAUGUUGGGUUAAGUCCCGCAACGAGCGCAACCCUUACUGUCAGUUACUACGCAAGAGGACUCUGGCAGGACUGCCGUUGACAAAACGGAGGAAGGUGGGGAUGACGUCAAAUCAUCAUGCCCUUUAUGACUUGGGCUACACACGUACUACAAUGGCGUUAAACAAAGAGAAGCAAGACCGCGAGGUGGAGCAAAACUCAGAAACAACGUCCCAGUUCGGACUGCAGGCUGCAACUCGCCUGCACGAAGUCGGAAUUGCUGGUAAUCGUGGAUCAGCAUGCCACGGUGAAUACGUUCCCGGGCCUUGUACACACCGCCCGUCACACCAUGAGAGCCGGGGGGACCCGAAGUCGGUAGUCUAACCGCAAGGAGGACGCCGCCGAAGGUAAAACUGGUGAUUGGGGUGAAGUCGUAACAAGGUAGCCGUAGGAGAACCUGCGGCUG